AUAUUUUGUAAAGCACUUUAAAACCUUUGAUAUGAGGGCUAAUGGAAAUAAAACGUGUAUUGUCACCUAUUCUUCCAGUUCCUCUCAAGUUGGCCGUUUUCCUUUCGCUUGGAUGUUAAGAAGCAAUAUUGUUUCGCUAUUGAAUGUUGAAGCUUAGUUUUAUUUCCUUCAACUUCUCUCCACUUCUAUUUCUUUGUGACCUCUUCUGGUUUCACUACCACAGAAUCAGAGAUUGCUGCCAAGGACCCAUCGAGAACUGAUUCAAGAUAAUACUUUCCUUGGACAGUUGUGAAGAUAGUUUUACUGAUCGCUCCAUGAGAAGGAGGAACUCUAGACAUCACGGGUCCUUCGUUUAUCCAGCCAGUUUUAAUAAAACAGAAAAGACGGAGUGCAAGGGGGCAACAUUUGAUCUUAUUCUCGCAGGCUCUGUGUAGGAAUUAGAAGAACUGGAGUAAUUCACUUGUUAGAUUUGUUACGUUACAUUGGGGUAACAUUUCCUUCCAGAAUUCUGGGAAAGGAGCAUUCCCCAGACACAGAAGAAAGGAUACACAGUGACUCCGCCUCCUCCACUCCCAGGUUCUUUUUUAUAAAAUAAAAUGAAGGAAUUUCAAAGAACACAUCUUAGAUUCAAACAGUUUUUCAGGCAUCUCAGAAACAUUUGAUCACAAAUGUCCG